CCUGCGCGUGGUGGCCGGGACGUGCUGUUAAACGUCUCGCGAGCGCGCCUGCCGCUUUGGACGGCGGAGGGGCAGGCGCGCAUGCGCGGCCUCAAAGCUGGGCGAGAGGAAGCCAGUACUUUCUUUUAUGCUGGCGCCAUUUUGUGCUCAGGACCUCUACAGCCGCCGCCGCAGCCGACGGCGGAGAUGGGCAGGCAAGGAAGGCGAAGGCUGUGGCAGCGCGAGCGACUCGGGCCCUGGCUCGGCCACUCUGGGCUCAGGCGCUUCGAACACCGGGACGCGGCGGCUCAGCGACCUGUGGGCGGAGCCGAAGCAGCGGAACCUGGACACUGGCGACAACAAAAGGGUCCAGAUGGAGGAGCUCAAGUCACCAGGCCACACCAUGUAGUCAAUGAUGUGAGUGAGGCAAGGAUACGGAGGAGGAGGAGAUACGGAGAUAACGGAGGAUCUGAAGGCACAGCCCCAGGACCUGCAGGCCUGUGUGGGUUCGCAGAUCUACAAACAGCAGCCCUGGAAACACAGCAGUGUGUUAGAGCAAGUACUCAGGGAAACAGACCAGCCCUGACUGGACUCCCGCAAUGAGCAUCAACUGAUUGGAGAGAGGAAACCUUUACCUACUGUCAGUGAAGGGCUGCUGACCAAAUUGAAAAUAAGAAUGGGGAAAUAAGAAUGGGUCCUGUUGGGGAGUCAACCUCUGAUACGGUACCCAGACUUCCACAGCUACAGAAAUCUUGAAGGAUGUCAAAUAAAGAACGGGGUCUUCUUCA